rnacentral:rRNA from 1 species
GGUAGAGCACUGGAUCGUCGAGGGGGCUUCACCGCCUACCGACACGAACCAAACUCCGAAUGCCGCCGGAUCAGAGGCCGGGAGUCAGAACAUGUGGGCUAAGCUGUGUGUUCGAGAGGGAAACAGCCCAGACCGCCCGCUAAGGUCCCCAAGUUUAUGCUGAGUGGCAAAGGAUGUGCGUUUGCCUAGACAACCAGGAUGUUGGCUUAGAAGCAGCCAUGCAUUUAAAGAGUGCGUAACAGCUCACUGGUCAAGUGGACAUGCGCCGACAAUUCACGGGGCUAAGCAUAACACCGAAGCGGCGGACUAAUCUAUAUUAGUGGUAGGGGAGCUUUCCCCGCAGCGGAGAAGCCGAGAGGGCGACCCUCGGUGGAGCGCGGGGAAGUGAGAAUGCUGGCAUGAGUAACGAGAGCGGCGCGAGAAACGCCGCCGCCGUAAGCCUAAGGGUUCCUGGGCAAGGCUAAUCCUCCCAGGGUCAGUCGGGAGCUAAGGCGAGGCCGAGAGGCGUAGCCGAUGCGCAACAGGCGGACAUUCCUGUACCGCCUGCGGACCGCUAUCACCGACGGGGUGACGGAGAAGGGUAGCCGAGCGGGGUUCUGGACGUCCCCGUGAAAGCGCGUAGGGAGCAUCGCAUGGAAAUCAGCGGUGCACGUAUCCUGAGACGCGAGACGAAAGCUUAUGCUGAAGUCGGCGAGCCCAUGCUUCCGAGAAAAACCUCUAGGAAGGGACGCAGGCGCCCGUACCAAAACCGACACAGGUGGGCAGGUAGAGCAUACCGAGGCGAUCGGGAGAACCAUGGUUAAGGAACUCGGCAUACUGACUCCGUAACUUCGGGAGAAGGAGUGCCCCUGGCGGUGACGGGACUAGCUCCCCGAGCGGCCGGGGGUCGCAGCGAAACGGCCCAAGCGACUGUUUAUCAAAAACACAGGACUCUGCAAAGCCGUAAGGCGACGUAUAGGGUCUGACGCCUGCCCGGUGCUGGAAGGUUACGCGGAUGGGUCAGCCGCAAGGCGAAGCUCUGAAGCCAAGCCCCAGUAAACGGCGGCCGUAACUAUAACGGUCCUAAGGUAGCGAAAUUCCUUGUCGGGUAAGUUCCGACCUGCACGAAUGGCGUAACGAUUUGGGCGCUGUCUCAACCAUGGACCCGGUGAAAUUGUAUUAUUCGUGAAGAUGCGAAUUACCUGCGGAAGGACGGAAAGACCCCGUGAACCUUUACUGCAGCUUGACAUUGAUCGUUGGCUCGGCGCGUAGAGGAUAGGCAGGAGGCUGCGAAGCCCGGGCGCCAGCCCGGGCGGAGCCGACCUUGGAAUACUGCCCUCGUCGCGUCGGCGAUCUAACCCCCGGCCGUGAUCCGGCGGGGGGACCGUGUCAGGCGGGUAGUUUGACUGGGGCGGUCGCCUCCCAAAACGUAACGGAGGCGCGCAAAGGUCCGCUCAGAACGGUCGGCAACCGUUCGCAGAGCGCAAGAGUACAAGCGGGCUUGACUGCGAGGCCCACAAGCCGAGCAGAGACGAAAGUCGGUUCUAGUGAUCCGGCGGCACAGAGUGGAAUGGCCGUCGCUCAACGGAUAAAAGGUACUCCGGGGAUAACAGGCUGAUCUUGCCCAAGAGUCCAUAUCGACGGGGAGGUUUGGCACCUCGAUGUCGGCUCAUCGCAUCCUGGGGCUGAAGU